GAUGAACGCUGGCGGUGUGCCUAAUACAUGCAAGUCGAGCGAACGGACGAGAAGCUUGCUCCUCUGAUGUUAGCGGCGGACGGGUGAGUAACACGUGGAUAACCUACUUAUAAGACUGGGAUAACUUCGGGAAAACGGAGAUAAUACCGGAUAAUACUUUCAACCGCAUGGUUCAAAAGUGAAAGACGGUUUUGCUGUCACUUAUAGAUGGAUCCGCGUUGCAUUAGCUAGUUGGUAAGGUAACGGCUUACCAAGGCAACGAUGCGUAGCCGACCUGAGAGGGUGAUCGGCCACACUGGAACUGAGACACGGUCCAGACUCCUACGGGAGGCAGCAGUAGGGAAUCUUCCGCAAUGGGCGAAAGCCUGACGGAGCAACGCCGCGUGAGUGAUGAAGGUCUUCGGGUCGUAAAACUCUUUUAUUGGGGAAGAAAAUAUGUGUAAGUAACUGUGCACGUCUUGACGGUACCUAAUCAGAAAGCCACGGCUAACUACGUG
rnacentral:rRNA from 1 species